AGUUUAAGGUACGGAAAAGUUUAAGGUUAGGAGAGUUUCAUUCAUAAGAUUUAACAAUCGAGGACAACCUUUCUCUCUCUCUUUGCUCUACCUUUUCUGUAGAAGUCUCUAAAAGCUGAAAAACGUUUUCCGGUGACCGGUGGUUUUAACGCCGCCGGUUACCAAUCUCUUUUUGUUUUUGAUGUAAAUAGUUGUUCGAUCGAUAGAUCGAUUUCUUUUACUUCGCGUUGGCGAUCUUCCCUUCGUGUUGGCGAAACUUUACUUUUUUCGCGUUGGCGAGUUUUUUGUGGUGUUAAUCUCAACCAUGUCAGAACUGAUUAUCAUUCUUAUCUUUUUCCGAUUGGGUUGAGUUAUAUAUAUUCCAGUUCUUCUCCUUCUGCUUUAUUAAGUUAUCCCAGUUGAUCGAAAGAUUUUGUUCUUCUUUUUCGUUAGACAUGCUUAGUCCUUGAUUCAGAGGUGGUAUCAAGCUUCGCCUUGGAGAAUAUGCUAAGUCUCUACGAAUAUCAAGUCCUGAGAUUUGGAUCAUGCUUUGGAGAUCUCAAGUUAGAAUCCAGAAGACUCGGAGCUACCACAAGGGUUAGUGUUCCGACGAGAUUCGACUCUUGGAUCUUUAAGCUUUUCCCGGUGCUCAGUUCUAACAAUCGGAGAAGAAGAUUUCGAGAUCAACGGCGGUUGAAGGUUUGAAGAACAUGCAAACAAUCUCAAGCAUGGCGGAGAUGGAAGACAUAAGGUUUCCCGGCGAGAUAGUUCUGGAACCGAUCUUUCCUCUACGACUAAGGAAACGAAGCCACGAUCGAUCAUGUGUUAUACUUAUCUAAAAUAGUGGCUCCGAAAUGGGCUUAAUAUUUUAAUGAGUCACAUUGUAAUUAUAUGCCCAUUGGGCUUUCGUUUUAUAAACGAGAAGUUGACAAAAAAGAGGAGAGUUUCAUUAUACACGGCAGCAUACAUAUAUAUUUAGAGCUAGGGUUUUAUUGUUUACAAACUAAUAUUUGAAUAAAUUAAAAAUAAAUAUAUUUUAGCACAUCUGUAACUCUACAGAUAAAUAUAUCAAAACGGUCAUUUCAUAUCCAACAUAUCGCGAU
rnacentral:lncRNA from 1 species